rnacentral:rRNA from 1 species
UACGAAGGGGGCUAGCGUUGCUCGGAAUCACUGGGCGUAAAGCGCACGUAGGCGGAUCUUUAAGUCAGGGGUGAAAUCCCAAGGCUCAACCUUGGAACUGCCUUUGAUACUGGGGAUCUCGAGUCCGGAAGAGGUGAGUGGAACUGCGAGUGUAGAGGUGAAAUUCGUAGAUAUUCGCAAGAACACCAGUGGCGAAGGCGGCUCACUGGUCCGGUACUGACGCUGAGGGGCGAAAGCGUGGGGAGCAAACAGG